rnacentral:lncRNA from 1 species
CUUUGAUUUUUUCCUCUUGGCCGAAAUAGCCCUAUUGGGCUGGCCUCACCAGCCCACCAAGGGCUUGUGCGCCACCCAUGGGCUAUUAGGUUCUCUCCCGGGUGGGUGGCCCCUUCCUGGUAAAAAACCGGAACCCAUUCGUCACUCCCGGUACAGUGCCGACAAUGCCCGAAAUCUUUCCGGAGGCCAAAUGAAACAAUCCUAUAUAUCAAUCUUCGUUUCCGGACCAUUUCGAAAACCCUCGUGACGUGCAUGAUCUCAUCUGGGACUCCGAACAAACCUUCGGUCACCAACACCUAUAACUCAACUAUACCGAAACGUCACCUAACCUUAAGUGUGCA